rnacentral:rRNA from 1 species
GAUGAACGCUGGCGGCGUGCCUAAUACAUGCAAGUCGAGCGAACAGACGAGGAGCUUGCUCCUCUGACGUUAGCGGCGGACGGGUGAGUAACACGUGGAUAACCUACCUAUAAGACUGGGAUAACUUCGGGAAACCGGAGCUAAUACCGGAUAAUAUAUUGAACCGCAUGGUUCAAUAGUGAAAGACGGGUUUGCUGUCACUUAUAGAUGGAUCCGCGCCGCAUUAGCUAGUUGGUAAGGUAACGGCUUACCAAGGCGACGAUGCGUAGCCGAACUGAGAGGCGGAUCGGCCACACUGGAACUGAGACACGGUCCAGACUCCUACGGGAGGCAGCAGUGGGGAAUCUUCGGCAAUGGGCGAAAGCCUGACGGAGCAACGCCGCGUGAGUGAUGAAGGUCUUCGGAUCGUAAAACUCUGUUAUUAGGGAAGAACAAAUGUGUAAGUAACUAUGCACGUCUUGACGGUACCUAAUCAGAAAGCCACGGCUAACUACGUG